rnacentral:lncRNA from 1 species
UUCUAAAUUAGGGAGCAUCAGUUACUUUUUUGGUGAGACAGUGGAAGGAAAAACAUUUAUUAUGUAUCCUGAGAAGAGAUUUUUAUUUCCUUCAUUUUAAAAAGAAAAUGUAAUCCUAGGGGCAAAUUUAGCCCCAAAUUUUCAACUCAGACCACUGCUCUUAGUAGCAUGGUUUUGGGUAAGCGGGCUCGGCGCAAGGUGCAGGGGGGCAGACCUCUUCAACAAUGACUGCGGGAGGGGCGGCAGCUUCGUUGAAAGCGGGGGCGGCGUACUCGUCGACAACAACCGGUUUCUGGGUGUAGACGUUGAGGGCGGCGGACUGCUUGUGCUUGAUGAUGUAGGGCUUGCCGAAGUAGUUGAUCUCGUAGGGGACAGAUUCGUGUUCGAUCACUCCUGGGCCCUGGAGUCCGAUGACAGCGGGGGAGGGAAGCACGGACUUGAUGACGACGGGCUUGAUCUCCGGUAGGGGCGGCUUCGGGCAGGACACCUUGGAGUAGACGGGCACCGGGUUGGCGGCGGCGAGGUUGAGGACGGCCAGGGCGGCGACGACAGCGACGAAAGCCAUUUUGAAAUUGGUGAUUGUUGAUGUCUGAUGGUAAACAAAGGAGUGAUCGAGCACGAAUCUGCCCCCUACGAGAUCAACUACUUCGGCAAGCCCUACAUCAUCAAGCACAAGCAGUCCGCUGCCCUCAACGUCUACACCCAGAAACCGGUUGUUGUCGACGAGUACGCCGCCCCCGCUUUCUACGAAAGGAAGCCCUGCCGCUGUCAUUGUUGAAGAGGUCUGCCCCCCGGCUCCUGCGCUGGUUCUGCUUACCCAGAACCAUGCUAUUAGAGGCAAAACAUGAGUUUAACAGUGAGGGAUGCUAAAUCUGCUUUUCUUCUUCAAAUCAAGAAAAUACAGAGCCAUCUCUCAGUACAAUUUUACGUUUUCCGUUCUUUGAAUUCCAUUUUUCUUUACCUGCACCCCAUUUGCGCCAAAAAAUUACCUAGAACAAGGACUUUAAAUCAUUAGAUUUAAUUAUCUAACCUUAACUUGUAUCUAAUUUAUCAAUCAAAUUAUUAGAUCUAAAUUCUCAAAUUAAAAUUAUUUUUGCCAACUGGUCAA